GAGCGGUAACAGGUGUAGCAAUACAUGCUGACGAGCGGCGAACGGGUGAGUAAUGCUUCGGAAUCUACCUUAUGGUGGGGAAUAACUAGCCGAAAGGUUAGCUAAUACCGCAUACGUCCUACGGGAGAAAGCAGGGGAUCGCAAGACCUUGCGCCAAAAGAUGAGCCGAAGUCGGAUUAGCUAGUUGGUAGGGUAACGGCCUACCAAGGCGACGAUCCGUAGCUGGUCUGAGAGGACGACCAGCCACACUGGGACUGAGACACGGCCCAGACUCCUACGGGAGGCAGCAGUGGGGAAUAUUGGACAAUGGGGGAAACCCUGAUCCAGCGACGCCGCGUGUGUGAAGAAGGCCUGCGGGUUGUAAAGCACUUUUAGUGGGGAUGAAAUGUGCAGGGCUAACACCUAUGCAUUUUGACCUACACCCACAGAAAAAGCACCGGCUAACUAUGUG
rnacentral:rRNA from 1 species